UAUGGAUGAGUUAUUAUGCAAGGAUAAAGGUUGUCAAUUGGUGAGUAUUUAUUAAAUUAAAUUAAAAAUAAAAUAAAUAAUAUAUAUAUAUAUAUAUAUAUAUGUAUAAUAAUUAAAUAAAAAUCUAUAUACAUAUAAAAUAAAUAAAACCAAAAAAAAAAACUAAAUUAAGAGUCAAGAGAAGGAAUUCUUUUAGCAUGUAUUUUGGAAUAAAUUGACAUUAUAUAUGAAUUAUUGGUAGAAAGUUGGUUUCAUGGCUUGGAUGUUUAAAUAACAUUAAAAAGUGACUUGAUUCAAAUUUAAAUAUGAGCUAAAUGUCUAUAAACAAAGUAGUUAAUUUACUUAUUGUGAAUUAGAAUAAACUUCCAAUUAGUGGUAGUUUAUUUAGCUUAAAGGUGCACAUAUAGAAAAUUUGCCUUGCAAGUUAAAACAAAUGACUUGCAAAUUAAAUACAUGUUAGAAGUUCUAUAGAAUGUCAUCAUAUAGCUUCUAAUUAGAUAAUAUAUAUAGAGGCAAGAAAGAAGUAUUAUUCACUCUUGUUAAUGCCUUUCUAAUCUUUAGUCUUAUUUCAAGACUUUUGAUACGUAUCUAUCUUACAAGAUAUAAGUUUAACUUAUAAGAUAAUUUUCUUACAUUUUCUCUAUAUAGCCAACUUAUACUAUAAUUAGCUAACAUGUGAAGUAUGUGACUAAGUUAUUAGCUAAGUUUUCAACCUAUCAAUCAUUUAUAAAUAUAUAUAAAAUCAAAUCUAUUGUCGUAUUAUAUUUGUAUAUGAUAUAUAAAAAUAAGAUAAGAACUAUGAAAUAUAUUAGUUCUCAGUUUAUAUUUUUUUAUUAAAUAAAAUAUUUAAAAAAUUUAUUAGGAAUUAGAAUUAGUUAAUUAAUUAAAAUUAAAAUUAAAAUAAAGAUUAAUAAAAAUAUAUUUAAAAAUAUAUAUAUAUAUAUAUAUAUAUAUAUAUAUAGAUGAAUAAAUCCUAUUAGUAGAAAGUGUUGUAGUUGUUAGAAAAAAAAACUAAGUUUGUAUAAGAAAAAAAAUAUAAUUUAGAAUGAUUAAUUAUUAAAAUACCUAUUUCAUAUAAAAUUAAGUAGACAUAAUUUUUAUAGAUCUUUUAAUAGAUAUAAAAAAUUUAUAAAAGAAAGAAUUAUAAUUCAUAAGAAAUAAAGAUUUAAAAAAUAGAGAGAGAUUGAGUAACAAGCUUAUAGGGAGAAAAAUUGAGGCUUUAGAUAUCAAGUGGCAACUUAAGGCGGAUGGAGGUAGAUGGAUAAUAAGGUACUUGGAUGGCACCUAGAAGUUCAAAAUUUUAUGAUAGCAUAUAGAGAAGAUGGAGAAGAAACAUUUCCUAAAAAUUCUUAAUCAAUUUAUUGAAGGUAUCUAGAAGGUUAAUCCUUCAAUGCUUGUAUUAAGAGAUUAUGUUGGGUAAUAAGGCACUUGUUGCCUAUAGGUAGUAUUUAAGAAGAAAGAAUAUUCCUUGAGAAAGCGUUGACAAUUACAUCAAUAUAUAAGCCCUAAGUACCAAAGAUCAUCUAAAAUGUGAUAAAAAUAUUUUAAAACCUUAUAUAUCCUUAAGGUGAAAUUUUCUUAAAUUUCAAAAACUCAUAUCUCAUGAUCAAAUUGUCCAAAAAAACUAAAAUUUUACAUAAAGUACUAAUGUACUUUAAAAAACUAUCACGACAAAUUUCAACUAUAAAUUCAUUAUGAAUCUUAAGAUAUUGCCAAAUUCCUAACCAUAUCUUCAAAUCCUUGCUUACAUAGGUUUAUAUGAAAAUUUCUUCAUAUCUCACAAAUUAAGUGAUUAAAUACUAUAAAUCUUUAAUAUAUAGCUUUUUAACCUAUAAGUACACAUUUUUAAAAAUUUUGAGCAAAAAAUUUGUUUAGAAACUUAAGAUAUAACUCCAACCAUUACUAUCAAUAAAAUGACUCACUUAUUGCAUUUAAAUUACAUGUGCUAUAUUCAAUGCUCUAUAAUUUCUUUAUAUAAACUUCAAAUAAAAAACUUCCUUCAUAAAAUACGCAAGUCUUGAAAUCAUCCUUGUGAUUGCACAUCCUAAUCUCCAAAAGCUAUUGUAAAAUUCCUUGUAUCCUCAAUAGUUGAUCUAUAGCAAAAGCAAAGAUUAUCUCUAAGUUCUAUAGGUCAAGAUAAACUUGACCUUUAGAACUUAGAGAUCAAAAGCAAAGAUUAUCUUGACGUAUAAAUGUAAGUUUUAAAAGAUUUGGAAGUAGGAUUUAAAAUUUAGGAUUUAGAAUUUAGGAUUUAGAAUAGGAUUUAAGAUUUAAGAUAAAGAUGAAUAAAUUACUAGUCUACAUAGUGCUAUGGUUGAUAAAAAGAGGAUUAGAGCUCUUUAAUGAGAAAACUCUACAAAACUUCUCAAAAAAAAGAGAUCAUUGAAGAAAAAGAAAUAAAAUAAGAAAGAUGCAUUAAAAAAGGCCAAAGGUAAAAAUCUUACUUAUAAAUUUUAAUUUGAUAUUAAAAAAUCUAUUGAUAUGAAGAAUAUCUUAGAAGAAAAAAUUUUGGAUGCUAAAAUUGAAUUUACUUUGAAGAAAGCUCUUAGUAUAGCAAAGAGGGAUUUCCAUGAAUUGAUCAUUGAUGUAAUAAAAAGAAAAAAAUAAAUGAUAGUCAAGGCUAUUAUGAUUGAGAUGAAAAAGAAGUGAUAGGACAUGUAUUUGUCCAAUUCGCAAUGCUAAGAGUAAGGAGAGAAGCAAACUUAGAAAACAAGACUUUGAUCAAUAAUAAUAUUCUUCUAGGAAUACAUCAAGUACAAGAAGCUCUAGUUGCAAAUUAUAUCAAGUGUCAUAAUCAUGAAAAAAAUAGAGUGAGUUAUUCAUUUUUUUAUUAAGCUAAAGUAACCAUAGAGACAAAAAUGAAGCUUGAUGAUUUAAAUGAUCCAAUGUUGGCAUUGAUUGAUCAUAAGUUAAAAAUUAAUAUCAUAUCAAGGAAGGUGUAUAAAAAGAAUAAGUAGCCAACUGAUAUGAAUCAUAGAUGAGUAAUUAGAAUAAUAAAUAAUCAAAAAAGAGAUCUUUAUAGAAUUUAUUUGGUAGUAAAGACAAAGAUUGGAGAUGUGGAGGUGGAACAAAAACAAUUUGUAUAAAAUUCAAUUACAUAUUAGAUACUUAUGCUAUAUAUUUCAUAGAAUUUUUAAAGAGUACUAUUAUUAAGUAAAGAUAUUAAAAAUCCUUGAUCAUUACUAUGCUAUAUAUUUCAUAGAAUUUGUAGUCUUUUCAAGUAUCAAGAGCUUUACUUCCUAAAUUAAUAAAAUUAUUUAAAAAAUGAUAAAAAUAGAAAUUCUAAAACCUUUAAUUAUUUUCUAUUUAAAUAAAUAAUUCAUAGUAUCUAAGAAAUUAGGAGUAUUGAAAUUCAUUCAAUAUAUGCAACUUAUAAAGAAAUUAACCAUUAGAAAUAUGGGAUUUAGUUUGGUUGUCGAUAAAUUAGAAAAAUAAUUUGCCACUCAUGUUAUCUAUUCUAUUAAAGAUUAUAUUCAAGGUAUAAUCAAUCUCAAUUGGCAAAAGAAAAUAGACAUUUUACAAUUAUGAAACUCCUUUGAAUUUGAUGAAGAUAUAUAUCUUAUUUCAAGGUACAACCAAUUUAGUGGCUCAUAUAUAAAAUACAAUAAAUUAGAUAUCAAAAGAAUUUGUGUCAAAAAAGACUUCUAUUUUUUGAUAAUAUUUGAAUAAAAGUUUACAAAUAUGAAGAAAGAAAUGAAACCAUUAAUACAAAUGGUUGUAAAAUAUUUUUAAGAAACAUAUUAAAAAUAUAGCUUAAAUAUUAGAGAAGCUUCUAUUAAUGAAUUUGACAUUGUCUUUGGAAAAAUCAAAUUUUGGAAUUGGAAAAAUUCUAGUAGUAGAAUAUAUAUAUAAAAAAUAUGAUAGGAAAUCAAAUUUUGAUAAGUUUAAUGCUAUAUCAAAAAUGAAAGUAUAUAAUAGUAUUACUAAGAUUAAAAGAUUUUUAGGUACAUGUCUGUUUUAUCAUAUUUAAGUGCCUCAUUUUGCCUACAUUUUAAAGCCACUUACAAGUUAUUGAAAAAAGAUAAAAAAAUUAUUUAAAAGGAAAAAAAUAAAGAAGCUAUGAAAAAUUUAAAGAAGAUUUUAACUUCACCACUUGUCUUUACACAAGUAGAUUAUCAAUGUAGAAGGUCAAUAGCAGUGACGAUGGAUACUAAUCCAAUAGUAAUUGAAUGGGCUAUUGAACAAAAUGAUUUAUUAUAAAGUUUAGAGUAUAGCUAUAAAUAGAAAAAAAGACAUAUCUAUAAAUUAAGCAUAAAUUUUGGAGAGUACUUAUGGCUUUAAAAGUUGACAAAAAUUAUUUGAUUGGAACCAAUGUGGUUUUAAAAAUGAAUAUUCUAUCUUUAUUUAGAAUGAUAAAUAAAUAUUCUACUUCGGAUAUUAUCAUGUUGAAAUAAAUAGCUUAUAUUUGGAUAUUAAAUUUGAUUUUAGAACACAUCAUUGGCAAAGAUAAUUUGAUAGCAAAUAUAUUAUUUAAAGCUAGAUAUAUUAAUGAAAAAGAGAUGAUGGCUUAUAAAGAUGGAAAAGAUGGAAAUAAAAAAACUUAUAGAUAUUUAUUUGCUAUCAAAGAAGUAAUUUGCAAAGAUGGAAAUGAAGUCCUCCAAAAGGAUCUAUAUGAAGAGAGGCCUAAAAAUAUUAGAAUUUAUUUGAAUACAAUGAAGAAAUAAGAAAUUUGGAUAGAUAAGACUUUUAAGGAGAUUGGAAAUAAAUCUUAUAGCUUUCUUUUUAAAGAUAGAAUUUUGUGUAAGAAAACAAAAAAAUGUGAUAAGUUCUAAUUAUAAGUAAUAAAUGAUUUAAUGACUAAAAAAAAGAUUCUAAAAAAAUUUUAUUAAAUACUUUGAGCUAAUUAUAGAAAAAUUUGAACCACUUAUAUUAAAAUCAAGAAGAGGUAUUAGUAGAAAAGACUAUUCAAAUAUACAGAAGACUUUGUGGAUUUUUAUAUAGAUUGAUAAAUAUAAUCCAAGAUUAAGUAUAUGGAUGGACUUUGACCUACUUAUUUAUCGUCUAUAUAUUUUUCAAUGGAUGAUUGAUUUAGUAACUAUGCCAUUUGAACUUUGAAGCAUGAAAUAUUUAGUUUUGGCAAGAGAAGAACUAUCAAAUUUUAUUUAAAGAAGGACUUUAAAAACCAAGUCUAUUGAAGGAGCAUGUUGAUUUAUAUUCAAAGAUAUCUUUAGCCAAUACAUGAGUAUUGAAAGAAUGAGAGCAGAUAGAGGAGAAUUACCAAGGACAUGAACUUCAAAGAAUUAAAAUAUCAAUUUACUCUUGUAUUACUAAAAAAGAUUAGAAAAUCACUCAAAGAUGAUAUAAUAUUGAAUUAGAAUGGCUAUUAUCAAAGUUAAGAAGACUAGAAAGUCUUCAAAUAAGAUUAAAGGCUAAAAAAGUAUUGAUAAGAGAGAAUAAGGUCUUACUCUUGCUUCUUUAUAUAUUCUUAAUUAAGAACUACGUGAUAAUAUCCAAUAGGACCUUCAAAACGUGUUGACUUUGCAAGACACAUAUCUUAACUUUUAAGACAAGUUUUUUAUAUGUAUGCAACAUAAUUAACUUAUUCCACAAGCUGCCAAUAUGUGGUUAACUUAUUGACCAAGUUUCUAACUUAUCAAUCAAUUAUAAAUACAUAUAAAGUCAAAGAAACGUCUAUAAAGCUUCUAAAAAGGUAUUCUAAAAAAUAUUAUGAAAUAAAUCUAUUUUUAUUUAUUUUUAUUUUAUCAUAUAGAUAAAUAUUAGAGUUAAUAUGUAUGUUCAUGAAAUUACCUCUUUUUUUAGGAAUGAAUUCCAUUAAGAGUAGUCAUCAUAUAUUGAGAAAAUUCAAGAUGCAACAAAUUAUAUUUGCUAAAUAUUUUAAUCUUUGCUCUCUUUAAAGAUGAUUGAUAAGAUCUCUGGGCCAUCAAUAAUAUUUCAUAUCAAGGUAGAAAGACCAUCCUAUUAUUCGAGCAUUGUUGAGGCUUUUGUACCUUCCUUCAAAUAAACCAUUUAGAAUAUUGUCAAGAGUUGUUCCUACUUCUAAUGAAAUCACCAAAUAUUGGGAGUUUCUUCUAAGGUUAUGAUACCAAAUAUGUUGUAUCUUGCCAUCUAUUCAAGAAAAGACAUAUUAUUCUUGAGGAUCUUCAUCUUGAUUAUGUUGCCUUGAAAGUUGUCACAAUCGUAAUAUCUUAUUUGGUAAGUUAGCAAGUAAUGGCUUUUGAAUUGAAUCUACUAGUUAUUGGUUCUCCAUCUCCUUAGUAUCACAAAUACACAAAAGUUACAAACAAGAAUAGAAAAUAGAAUUCUAUCUUUCUUAGAACUUGUUUAUUUUAUAACAAAGAUUUAUUAUUAUUUAUCUUAAUUUUGAUAGAUAUUGUCAAUAAAAAGCCUCAACCUUCUUUAUUGCAUUUAUAAGAUUCUUUUUUGGCUCUCAUGUGCAUCCACUAAUAUCAUAUCCAUGCCAAUGAACAAGAUAUUUUAACCUAUUUUGGUGCCGCCUUGAAUCUAAGACUUCUUCUACUUUAAAUUCUUCAUUAUUAUCCACUUCUAUAAGAAGAAGUGGCAUUUAUCUUCUUCUUGAGAUAUUCAUUGUCUUAUAUGACUCAAAAAGAUAUACAUGGAAUACAAGAUAGAUCUUUAUAGACUUUGAUAAAUAUAAUUAAAAAACAACAAGAUUGACUUAUUUACAAAUAGAAAAAAGUCUAAGUCUAUAAUAGUUUAACUUAUCAUAAGAAUAAGUAGUCUUGAUAUUGUGAUGAAGUAGCUAUACCUUGUAACUCAUGUUAAAUUAUGGUUGUUCUUUUCAAUAGGCAUCCACAUUGAUUUUUUUUCAUUCUUGAUUUUUUUUUUCAUUAUGCAUUCAUUGUUGCAUGUAGUUCUAAUAAAUUGUUUGCCAAAUCUUUAAGCAUAAGAUUAUUAACUUUUGAAGAAUCAAAAAUAUCAAGUUAUGGAUGAUAACCAUAAUUGAAAAAAGUCCAUAAAAUUGAAUUAAUAAUGGCUGAAGAAGUCCAUAAAGUUAAUGACGAGGAAUUUUAGAUCUUGAAUAAAUAUAGUCAUGCUUUGACUUUUGGAAUAUAUUAAUAUCCCUCAAAAUAGAGUAGAUUGUUUUUAAACUUGAACUUGGAAGUAUCAUGAGAUUUAGAAGGAUUAUUCUUAACAUCAUGAAUAAAAGGAUCAAAAGACAUGCUUGAUGGAAUUUGGUUGAUAAAAGUUGAAUCAAUAAUCAAUGUUGAUUUUAUUGUUCAAAGAUGAAAAUGCCAAAAAGAAAAUCAUUAUUUAUUUAUUAUUAUUUUAUUUUUUUAGACCUUAAAGGAAAUCAUUUUUUGUUGAUCAAAAUUUGCAUUUGUUUCUUUUGGUGCAAGAUAAGAAUGUCUAAAAAGAACAUUUGACAAAUCUUGUUGUUUUUCAUAUUUGUAGGUGAUCUUAAAAUCAAAUCUUAAUAAAAACCUACUUCAUCAGGCUUAGCAAUAAAUCAAAAUAUAUACCAACAUGAAGUAUUCAAGGUUCUUGUAAUCCAUACGUACAAUAACUAGACUAAAAUCACCUUUUACAUAAUGACACCACUCUUGAAACAAAUCCAAAAAUACAAGAAGCUCUUUAUUGUCAAUCUUAUGAUUAAUCUCAGCUAGUGAAAAAAAUUUGGAAUGAAAAGCUAUUAGAUGGAGCUUAUCAUCUACUCUUACUUAUAAUAAAAUAAUAUCUAUAGCAAAGUCUAAUGUAUAUGUUUCCAUAAAAAAUACCUCAAAAAAAUUGACGCAAUAUAAAAUUAGUGAAAAAAUAAAUUUUAUCUUCAAGACUUUAAAAGAUGUUUCAAUUUCUUUGCUCCAUUGAAAUUUGUCUUUAUAUAUCAGACAUGUAAGAGAAAUAGCAACUUGAAAAAAUUUCUUAAUAAAGAUUUGAUAAUAAUUAGCAAAAUUUAAAAAAUAUUGCAUAUCUUUGAUUGUUUUUGAGAUCUUCUAAUUUAUGAUAAUCUCAACCUUUUUAGGAUCCAUCAUUUAUCCUUUGUUGGAAAUGAUGUAUAUUAAAAAAUCAACUUGAGUAGUAUGGAAUACAUACUUUUUUCUCUUUGCAUAUAAUCUUGCAUCUCUAAAUUUUUGUAACACAUGAUUAAUAUGAAAUUCAUAUUUUUCUAUGUUUUUAGAAUAGAUUAGAAUGUCAUCUAAAUAAUAGAUAAAAAAAUUAUUAAAAAACUCACAAAAGACAUCAUUCAUAAAAUAUUGAAAAGUAACUAGUACAUUCAUAAGUUCAAUUGACAUAAUAUUAUAUUUGAAAUUUUCAUAUUUAAUUUAUAAAGUAGUCUUCCACCUAUUUCUUUCUUUAAUGUAGAUCAGGUUGUAUGCUCCUUAUAAAUCUAUUUUUAUAUAGAUCUUUUUUUAAUUGAGUUGGUUAAAAAAUCUUAAAAUUAAAGGUAGAUGAUACCUAUUUUUUAUAGUGAUCUUGUUAAGUCUUUGUAUAAAAUCAACUCAUUUUACAAUAAGCUAUAGAUUGAUCAAAAUAGUAGUUAAAUUUUUUCUUGUAGAUCAAUUCUAUAUCAUAGAGUUAUUACUUAAGAAGAAUAUCUACAUUUUUCUUUUCUAAAAUGUCCUAGAAAUCAUCAUAUUAGCUAAGAAUAUUACUUGACAUAUUUCUACUAUCAAAAAUAGGUGUGGUAUAUAUAACAAAAGAUGACUCUUCUUUUGCCACAUGCAUGAAAACUAUUGCACCUACUAGUAAGAGUUUGGAUAUAUUAAGCUUAUCUAUUUCUAGUUUAUUACUAUUGAGAUUUUGAAUUAAACUAUAAGAAAAGUUAAGAUUACAAAAAAUCCAAUCUAUUUUAGGAAUAUAUUAUUUUAAUCACAAUAAUCCUAAAAUAAUUAGAUUAAAAGAAGAGCUUAUCACAUUAAAUAUUACUAUAUUAUUAUGAUCUUUAAUUGCUGUAUCUAAAAAAAAAAAUCUCAUAAAUAAUAUCUCUAAAAGACAACAAAUGACCAUCUAUAACUUGAGAGCUGCUAUCAUUACUUGGCUUAUUCUUCUUCAAUCAAGUCUUUGUUCUUGACACCUUUCAAAUUAUUGAUUGUUACAUGCAAUGGCUUGAGUAAUAAAUUAUUUUAAAGAUUCUACUUUUGAUAUUGUCAAUAAAAAAUCUUUGAUGAUAUCUUUCAAUCCAUAUUAAAAUUGAUUGAUGAGCUUUAUCAUUUCAAUCUAUGUAAUAAGCAAAAAUUUGGAAUUCAACAGCAUAUAUGGUGGCUGAUUGUGAUCUUUGUCAUAAAAAUAAGAGCUUGAUUUCUUCUACUUUUUUUUUAUCACUUUCUUUGAAUGUGGCCAUAAAUAUUUCUAGGAAUGAAUUCAAAUCAUAAAAGAAUCAUGAAUCAUUUUCCAUCAAAAGUACAAAAAAAAAAAAAAUACUUCUAGAUAAAAGUACACCUAUAAACUCAACUUGAGUAAAUCCAUCAACGUAUUGGAAGCAAUAUAAUCUUAGAUAGAGCUUCACUUAUUGCAAAAAUCUUCAAAAUUUUGAUCUUGUUCUAUUAAACUUCUUGAGCAUACUAAUCCUUAUCUAUAUUAUAUUUAUAGAAAUAAAACUUCUUGAAUAUAGUUGUGAAGUUGAUUUAUUUGUUUCUUUUAAGAAUAUAUUUUUUAAUAUAUAUUUUAAAUUUCUUCUAUAGGCAUGGGAUUAGUAUUUCUAUGGUUGGUACUCAUGAUGUAUGAAAUUUCUAUCUUGAGAUUAUUGAUAAGUUCUUAAAGAUCAAUAAUAGUUAUAAAUCUAUUCUUAUUUUUACCACGAAUAUGAUCAAUGAUAUUUUCUUCUAUUUCAAACAACUUAACAAAUCCAUAAGUCAAAUUAGAGGAGGAUAAUCCACAAUCUCUAAUAUCAAAUGAAAAUUUCUACAAAAAGAAAAAAUUUUCUCUUUUUAAAGAAGAUGUCAAUAUUAAAAGAUUAAAUAAUUUUUUUUACAGGUAGAUAAUUUGCAACUUUUAAAAUACAACAAUAGAAGUGGAGUAAUUCACUCACUUCUAAAACAAGAUAAGAAUAAUGUGUUAGUACUCUUGUCAAACUAUCAAAGAUAUGAACCUCAAAGAACUAAAAUAUCAAUACAUUCUUGAAUCACUCAAAAAGACUAAAAAAUCAGUGAAAGAUGAUAUAGUAUUAAAAUAGAAUAGCUAUUAUAAAAGACAAGAAGACUAGAAAGUCUUCAAAUAAGAGUAAAGAAUAGAAAAGCAUUGAUAAGAUUGAAGAAGGCUUCACUUUUGCCUCCAUAUAUAUUCUUAACUAGGAAGUAUGUAGCAAUGUCCUAUAGAACCUCCAAAAUGUGUUGACUUUGCAAGAUACAUACUUUAACUUGCAAGACAAGUUUUCUAUAUGUAUGCUACAUAGUUAACUUAUUCUAUAAGCUAUCAACUUGUAGUUAAUUUGUUGACUAAAUUUCUAACCUAUCAAUAAACAACAAAUACAUAUAAAAUCAAAACACCAUCUAUGAAGCUUUUAAAAAGAUUUUGUAGAAAAUAUUAUGAAAUAAAUCUAUUUUUACUUACUUCUACUUAAUUGUAUAAGUAAAUAUUAGAAUAAAUAUGUAUGUGCAUGACAAGAAUUACAUGCUACGGAGGCAAAGAAAUUCUUCAAAAGAUAUGGAAUUCAAUUAAAAAUAAUUAUUUCUUAUAAUUUAUAAAUAAAUGAUAAAAGUGAUAGAAGUCAUCUUUCCAUCAUUAAUGAAAGCUUAUAAAGGUAAGUUAAUACAAUGGCCAAAAUUACUUCUAUUUGUAUUAUAGAAUAAUAAGACUACUUAUAUUAUGGUGAUCAAUAAUAUACUCAUUGAUUUGAUACUAGGACAAAAAUUAAUGAUGUUAAUUAAGGAAUCUUAUUAUAUAUGGACUUUUUUAUCUUAGAAAGAUAGAAUUGAUAGAAAAUGCCUAUUCAAACUUCAAAUUCAAUAAUUAAAGUGACUACCAAAAGAUUUGGAAGUAGCAAUAGAGAGGUUAAAAGUGGCUCAGUUAAAGAACAAAAAAGAUUUAACAAGACAUAUAAGUUAAGAGCUAAAUCCAUAGGAUUUGGAGAUUAGAUUUUAGUUUAUGAUAUAUUAAAAGCAGUUAUUAUAGGAUUAUAGUUAGAAUCUGGAAAUCAGUAGUAAUUAUAUAGGAGUUGUAGAAGCUUGUCGGGAUGCCAGACUGUAAUAGUCAUGAGCCGGGGUGCCAGAGUGCGAUGGUCAUGAGCCGAGAUUAAGUUUGGUGCUUCCUCUUUGUUUCUUUUGUUUUCUUUGUUGUUGAAGAAUAAUGGAUAGUUUUUGAAUACUGAGAAGUGAAUCUGUGGAAUAAAUCAGAGAUUGAUUUAUGAGUUAUUGAUGAUGUAAUUGGAGUACUGAGUGAUUGAAUCAUAUGAGAAGUUAUUGAAAGAUUGAUUACGGAUAGAAGAUUAUGAUUAUUGUUUAUUGAGAGUUGUGUGUGUGUAUUUCGACAGAGGAAGUUUGUGAUUACAGGAAUGCUGUGAAUUCACAUUGGUUGGAGUGAAGUCUGUUAUUCCUGGUGUUGGAUGGAAUUUAUUGAGUUUUGAGUGGUCUUUUCAGAGUGUAGGGUUGCACAUUGUGGUUAUAGGUUGAUGAAGGAGUAUUGUUAUUGGGAGGAAGCAUUGUAGUGUUUCUUAGUGUUUUAGUGGUUCGGAAUACAGUUAAUUGUGUGACCCUAACA
rnacentral:lncRNA from 1 species